GCCUUUUGGUUGAAAAGUUAAUUACUUGGUGCUGAGCAAAGGCAUUGAUAACAAGAAAAUUCUUGCAAGUCAAGCAAGAAAAUGAAUAGAAGCAAAUGAAUUCUUGCUCUCUCAUCAGGAAAUGAAUCAGCAAUCUGGUAGCCCAAAAAUUGGGUAGAGUGCCCCUUUCAGUUGCAAAUAGAAGGAGAAACCAUGCACUGUAAUUUUCAAUAAUACACGCUGCAUUUAUGAGCAGUAAAAAAAAAAAAAAAUUCAAAGUGCUUGAGCUCUGGAUUUACUUACAUUGUCCACCAUUGGAUUUGAUUUAAAAAAUUAAAACUGUUCAACCAUGACCAUCAACUGAUCCAACGGUUGACAAAAAUGGAGAUCAUAAGAGCUCGAGCAUUAUGAAAAAACCAGUGAAUCCAAUGAAAAAAUCAUAAAUCAUACAUCGUUGAUCGUGGUAUGGUGGGUCCCAACCCAUAAUAAUCAUGAACUUGUUCUACCAAAUAAAAAU
rnacentral:misc_RNA from 1 species